rnacentral:rRNA from 1 species
UACGAAGGGGGCUAGCGUUGCUCGGAAUCACUGGGCGUAAAGCGCACGUAGGCGGAUUGUUAAGUCGGGGGUGAAAUCCUGGAGCUCAACUCCAGAACUGCCUUCGAUACUGGCGAUCUUGAGUCCGGGAGAGGUGAGUGGAACUGCGAGUGUAGAGGUGAAAUUCGUAGAUAUUCGCAAGAACACCAGUGGCGAAGGCGGCUCACUGGCCCGUAACUGACGCUGAGGCACGAAAGCGUGGGGAGCAAACAGG